AUGAAGUCAAGAAUAUCAGUGUUUCUUCUGCCAGUAGUAUUAGGUGUGAAGAUGGCCAGGAUGAAUCUGGGGACUAUCCUUCAAGAGCCUGUGGAAUAUGUGGAACUGUGGAACAGCUCUGGGCUGUUCCUCUCCUUGACAGCAUUGCUCCCGCACAGGGGUCACAGCCUUCAUUUUGCAGGUGCAUAUGGACACAGGAAGCAUUACCUCAUCGCUCCGGUUUGGCAUUGGAUGGUGUGUACUCAGAUAUCCUUCCUCUCGAAAGGGGAUAAAAAAAUUUAGUUUCAGAAUGUCACUGACUUAGUAGAGAGGCCACAGAAUAAGAUAUUUGGUAUCUUAAUGAGAGGGGGAAAGAGCAGGAGAGAAACACUGUGUCAUACAUUUCUAUUUAUACAGAUACGUGACAAUGAAUUCAGAGAAAAGUCAAGCUACGUUAUGUACUGAGAUUUGAUAAACAAUUUGAAAUGAACUUUUUUCUUGCAUUUACCAACCACUGUCAGAGAUAAGCAGACCUCAGACGGAUGUUUUGUGGUUCACCUGAAUCAAAACCAAAUUAAGCUGAAGGAUAUACUUGGUUGGAUUCAUUUGAGUGACAAGCUGCUUUGUUAUAAAUAUGAAAUGGUGUAGCAGAGAUGAGCAUGGUAUUCAAAUAGAACAUUGGUUAUAGAGAACUACAGCAUUUCCUUGUCAUUUCCUGACUGAUAUUUCAUGUUGCUUCUGGUCUGCUGUCUAGCUGACAAUAUGCACCUGCAAUGUACUGCACUGAUUGAGAAUGGGGAUGGGGAUAAGCCCCAUUAGCUCGAGUACUGUGACUUUCUUCGAAGUGAUGCUCUCUGUGAUAUUUAAUCCUUCCUGCAUCCCCAGCUGUAGUCUUGGAGAGAGUACAAGUAGUCUGGGUGGGGCUUGUCCUCAGCUCUUCAGCAGGGCGUGGGCUGGUCCCAGAGCUCCCAGUCUUUGCUGUGUCUGUGGUGUUCCUAAGGGUGGGUAAGUAGGGUAAGUACAGAAAGAGGUGGGUUUUGUGAUCAUGGAGGAAACUGGGAGUUUGCUUGAAGAUGUGUAGAAUGACAGGAAGCUAGGAAGGUGCAAGGACCAACAAGCCAUUGACACACCUGCAGGCACACUGAAUAAAAGUCUGAAGUCAUAUAGAAAUAGUUUCCA
rnacentral:lncRNA from 1 species